rnacentral:rRNA from 1 species
CAGUCGAGCGGACAGAUGGGAGCUUGCUCCCUGAUGUUAGCGGCGGACGGGUGAGUAACACGUGGGUAACCUGCCUGUAAGACUGGGAUAACUCCGGGAAACCGGGGCUAAUACCGGAUGGUUGUCUGAACCGCAUGGUUCAGACAUAAAAGGUGGCUUCGGCUACCACUUACAGAUGGACCCGCGGCGCAUUAGCUAGUUGGUGAGGUAACGGCUCACCAAGGCGACGAUGCGUAGCCGACCUGAGAGGGUGAUCGGCCACACUGGGACUGAGACACGGCCCAGACUCCUACGGGAGGCAGCAGUAGGGAAUCUUCCGCAAUGGACGAAAGUCUGACGGAGCAACGCCGCGUGAGUGAUGAAGGUUUUCGGAUCGUAAAGCUCUGUUGUUAGGGAAGAACAAGUGCCGUUCAAAUAGGGCGGCACCUUGACGGUACCUAACCAGAAAGCCACGGCUAACUACGUGCCAGCAGCCGCGGUAAUACGUAGGUGGCAAGCGUUGUCCGGAAUUAUUGGGCGUAAAGGGCUCGCAGGCGGUUUCUUAAGUCUGAUGUGAAAGCCCCCGGCUCAACCGGGGAGGGUCAUUGGAAACUGGGGGAACUUGAGUGCAGAAGAGGAGAGUGGAAAUUCCACGUGUAGCGGUGAAAUGCGUAGAGAUGUGGAGGAACACCAGUGGCGAAGGGCGACUCUCUGGUCUGUAACUGACGCUGAGGAGCGAAGCGUGGGGAGCGAACAGGGAUUAGAUACCCUGAUAGUCCACGCCGUAAACGAUGAGUGCUAAGUGUAGGGGGUUUCCGCCCCCUUUAGUUGCUGCCAGCUUAACGCAUGAGGCACUUCGCUUGGGGAGUACGGAUCGCAGGACUGACAA